GACGAACGCUGGCGGCGUGCUUAACACAUGCAAGUCGAACGGAAAGGCCCUGCUUGCAGGGUACUCGAGUGGCGAACGGGUGAGUAACACGUGGGUGAUCUGCCCUGCACUUCGGGAUAAGCCUGGGAAACUGGGUCUAAUACCGGAUAGGAGCCAUUUUUAGUGUGAUGGUUGGAAAGUUUUUUCGGUGUAGGAUGAGCUCGCGGCCUAUCAGCUUGUUGGUGGGGUAAUGGCCUACCAAGGCGGCGACGGGUAGCCGGCCUGAGAGGGUGGACGGCCAGAGAGGUACGAGGUACAGGCCCAGGCGCGGAGAGGGGGCAGGGGGGGAGAUGAGGGAAGGAGGCGCGCAGGCUGGAGCCGGGGUGGCGGGGUGGGGGAGGACGGGCUGCGGGUUGUCAGCUCCUUUCGCUAGGGAAUAAGCUUUUGGUGACGGAACCUCGAUCAGCCGCCCCGGCUAACGACGUUCCAGGAGCCGCGAAAAUGAGGGACAGAAAACGUCUGAAC
rnacentral:rRNA from 1 species